rnacentral:rRNA from 1 species
AAUAGAUACCCUGGUAGUCCACGCCGUAAACGAUGAGUGCUAAGUGUUAGGGGGUUUCCGCCCCUUAGUGCUGCAGCUAACGCAUUAAGCACUCCGCCUGGGGAGUACGGUCGCAAGACUGAAACUCAAAGGAAUUGACGGGGGCCCGCACAAGCGGUGGAGCAUGUGGUUUAAUUCGAAGCAACGCGAAGAACCUUACCAGGUCUUGACAUCCCAUUGACCGCUAUGGAGACAUAGUUUUCCCUUCGGGGACAGUGGUGACAGGUGGUGCAUGGUUGUCGUCAGCUCGUGUCGUGAGAUAUUGGGUUAAGUCCCGCAACGAGCGCAACCCUUGUUCUUAGUUGCCAUCAUUUAGUUGGGCACUCUAAGGAGACUGCCGGUGACAAACCGGAGGAAGGUGGGGAUGACGUCAAAUCAUCAUGCCCCUUAUGACCUGGGCUACACACGUGCUACAAUGGACGGUACAAACGGUUGCCAACCCGCGAGGGGGAGCUAAUCCGAUAAAACCGUUCUCAGUUCGGAUUGUAGGCUGCAACUCGCCUAC